AAAAAAACCCUGCCAAUAUUGCGAUACAGAGAAAGAGAAAGGGAAAAAGGGGAAAAACCUACUCUCUGCACAUCAGUCUUCUUAACUUUUUUUCUCUCUAAAAAAAACCCUAGCCAUACUACGAUAGAGGUGAUCUUUUCACAUCAAACUCCACUACGAGAAAAGAAAAAAAAAGAAAGACUUGCACCAUAGUGGAGAUUCGAUUGAUCAUCGCUAUCCCCUUUUGAGUUUUCCAGACUCUGCGAACCAGUGGAUAUUCGUAUGGCUGGCCACUGCCAUACCCUGCCGGACUUAGAGCAUCACAAUCGGCAUCCGUCAAGGCUAAAUACGAUCAAACGCCCCAUAGGUUUUGAGAUACGGAGUUAGAGAUUGGCGCUAUUCUGACGAAAGAUCUAUCAUCUCUGCUCUGGCUUAUAAGACAGUUGGUAGCUAUUCAAGAAGAGCUACUUGAUUAAAUAUAAAGAUGUUGAAAUUAGAUGAGAAUACUUUACCAAAAGAGAUUCAAAAAAUAAUUGGCAAUGAAUAUUUGUUCCAACUGCAUCUUGAUGAAUAUAAUUUGAAGUAUGGAAAAGAAAAUUACACGGUCUCAAAAAUUUUGGAGAUGGAAGUUUUACAUAAGCAAAAAGACUCAAGUAAAGUUGAAGAACAUCAGGAAACAAUGGAGGAAAUUGUAAGAAAAUCAAGGAAGGACAAGUACAUAGCCAAUCAAAAAAUAGAAAUAGGAGAAACAUCUGUUCAAAGACCUGAAAGAAUGCCGCUCCAAAUGCUUCAAAAACGUCAAAAAAGUACUAAGCAAAUUGCUACAAAGAAGAAAAAAAACUGAACUCUAUUGUAUAUACUACCUUACUCUAGGAAUCUUUAUGUAUUUCAUAGUAUUGUUAAUUAUUAUUUUUUUGCCUUUAGAAGAGUAAACUGAAUGUACUGACUAAAGCUGACAAAUUAGAACAACGUUACUAUAAAAUGUAAUUAUAUUUCACAAUUUGGUAUGUUAGACACUGUGAUGGCCCAAAAUGGUUGAUUUCAAAGUGUAUAAGCUGAAUGAAGAAUGUAGACAACAAGAUUUGCUUUAUUAAAAUAAAUAGAUUUUCCCCUAUUGUUCUGUUA